rnacentral:rRNA from 1 species
UCGGGAAUUUUGAGCAAUGGGCGAAAGCCUGACCCAGCAACGCCGCGUGAGGGAUGAAGUAUUUCGGUAUGUAAACCUCGAAAGAAUGGGAAGAAUAAAUGACGGUACCAUUUAUAAGCUCCGGCUAACUACGUGCCAGCAGCCGCGGUAAUACGUAGGGAGCAAGCGUUGUUCGGAUUUACUGGGCGUAAAGGGCGCGUAGGCGGCGCGGUAAGUCACUUGUGAAAUCUCUGAGCUUAACUCAGAACGGCCAAGUGAUACUGCUGUGCUAGAGUGCGGAAGAGGCUACCGGAAUGCUGGGUGUAGCGGUGAAAUGCGUAGAUAUCAAGAGGAACACCUGAGGCGAAGGCGGGUUGCUGGGCCGACACUGACGCUGAUGCGCGAAAGCCAGGGGAGCAAACG